rnacentral:rRNA from 1 species
CCCUUAGAUGUUCUGGGCGGCACGCGCGCUACAAUGGUCUUCGCAAACGGAUGCAUUCUCGAAGGAGAAUGCCAAUCUUGGAAUCUAUGCCUUGGUCGGGACAGUUGCUUGCAAUUUUUCGACUCGAACCAGGAAUUCCUUGUAAUCGUGAUUCAUCACAUCACGAUGAAUACGUCCCUGCCCUUUGUACACACCGCCCGUCACUCCUACCGAUCGAAGAGUUAGGUGAAUUGUUUUGAUCGAUAAGAUUUGACUAUGGUCAACUCUCGUUGUGAAAUUCUGUGAAUCUGACUGUUUAGAGGAAGGAAAAGUCGUAACA